UAGGAAGCCGCAGGCUGCAGCUCACUCGCCCGGGGCUGGCCGCCCAUCCCCCAACCGGCCGAGCCGGGGAGGGGGCAGUCACUAACGCCCGGCUCGCCUGCGUCGGCGUGGUUACCCGGCCUCCAAGGCGCUGCCCUGGGCUGGCCGGACCUGCUCUCUUUCCCGGCCUCAAGGAGCUUUUGAAUCUGAGAAGGAAGCAGCUGGGGGCACGGUGCCGGCAGACUGGGGCGCACGCCACGGACAUCGUCAGUCACUGAGGCUGGCGUUAGAGCAGAGAUGAGAGACUAGAGGAGAAAGGAAACUCGCACAGAGCGGAUGCCCACGCCGGAAAGGCUCUGGCUGACUCUCGCGGGGCAGGCAUCUUGGUCCUCGUUUUACAGAUGAGCAAACCAAAGCUUGGAGGAGUCCACUCAUUUCUGAAUCCAGCAGUUAUUAAAGCAUCUACUUUGUGCCAGGCCCUGGCUGGGCUCUGGGGAGACCACCAUGAAUAAGACGCAGACAGCUCCCCUUUGGGUGGGGAGACCCAAAACUAGUGUGGUGACUAGGGGGAGACCUGUCCUGAUCUGAGGGUUCAGGGAGACUUCCCAGGGGAAGUGUGGUGCCAGCGAAGCCCUGACGGAUAGAAGGAGGCCCAGCAUAAGGAGUCACACCCAACUGAACUUCAGCCGACAGAGGUCCACCUGCCAGAAUGCCGAAGGGCCUAUUUCUGCCAAAGCUGCAGGAUCAGGCCUCGGGGCUGGGCAUGGAGCCCUGGUGACCUCACUGCUGGAGCAGGAUUAGAAAUGGCUGCAGCUGUGAGGAAGGGGCUGUAGAGGUCUUCAGGACGGGUUGGCAGGGACACUGCCACAAAGUCCUUUUGCUCCCUCUCUUGGGCCCUGCCUAAGGCUGGGAAGAUGGAGAAGAGGAGAGAUGAGUAACCAGGAGAGAGCCAAUGAGAUGGGCCGGCAGCACCGGAUGAUCCAUGGGGCCAUGAGCAGGAGGGGAGCGGGAGGCCUACUCAGCAUUUUCAGCUGUUCCCUGGACCCUCCCUGCCAUCUGGACGCCUCCACUAGGGGAUGUGCUGCUGGCACGGGGAGAGAUGUAAGAGACAGAGGCCAAAGAAACUGAGCUGGAGGCUCCAGUGACCCAGGAAUAUGGAGACCCCCUUUCCCCCUUCAGGGCCUAAGUCUGUGGAUGCUGACCAUCCCCACCCCACCCCACCCCCAGUACCUACAACUGGGAAUUCUUCUCUUUGGCUGACAGUGCUGGUGGGCUCUCUGUCUCUGCCGUGGAAUCAAGUCUUAGACAACCCUCUCUCCACACCCUCCAUACCCUUCCUUGGUUCAUGGUGUGUUCAGAAGGAGUAUCUUUGGAAAGAGGCCUGGUUCUGAAUCCCAAGCCUGCCAUUUACUAGCUAGAGACGCAGAGCAAGUCCCUUCUGCCUUCUGAGUCUCCUUUUGCCCAAAUGGAUGUACUUCUCAGGGUUGUCACGAGGAUUAAAAGAGAGAACUUACAGAAAGCCUAACACACACUAAUACUCAAUGAACAGUGACUCCCUUCUCCCUUCUGGGUGUCCUCCCCAGGGCGGUUGUCCCAGAGGCGCACAAGAAUGAGCCUUCUCUCUUGAAUCAAUAGGAAACGGCCCACGUAUAUCUCCAUCUCCUCCUCACUGAGGUCAUCGCGUGCCUGCAGACACUGCAGAGAAGUUUCCUCAGCUCUCCCUUUCUCUCUCUUUGUAUAAUCCAUCCCUUCCAUCAAUCUUCACUGAGCACCUCCUACGCCCAGGCGCUGUGCGGGCUCAGUGGGGAGCCAGGGUGAAGGGGAGGGCCUGCCUUCCCUGGACCUGCGGGGGGAGUGCAGUCACAGCGGGUGGAAUGGAGCGUUCUUUCUGCCACCAGGAAAUCGCUUCCUUAUUCCCCAGGAGUUCUAGGUACUGUAGGGCUGAGAGAACAAAUGUUGGCAAAGACAGAGGUUUACUCCACACCCGUUGCUUCUGAGAAACUGCUGCCUGGGGCAGGAUGCUCCCUGGAAGAACAGUGGCUCUCCCUGUGCAGGGAGGAGAGGCGUGGGCAGCUCAGAGUGGAGGGGCAGUCACCUCUGCCUUCCCAGAAACCAGCGCCCUCACUCCUGCUACCGACAGAAUAAAGUCCAAACUCUAGCCUUG